rnacentral:lncRNA from 1 species
UUUUGCCAGGAACGUCAAUGUAACGUAUAUAUAUUUAAUUUUCCAUAGACUAAAAGUUAAGCAUUUUUGAGUCUUAAGCAUUUGACACGUUCUGUUGAAUGAUAUAUUUUUGGGAGAGAGUUUUCAAAUAUUUAUUCUAAAAUGUAAUAAAUCAACAAGAAAUUUGACUUCCAUCAGUGUUUUGUAAACCAUGUGCUGAUCUUAAAGGCGUCGAAGUUUUUGAUAAAUGAUAUAUGUUUUCUAUAAUACCGAACCUUUCGACUUUGGGACCUUUAGUAAAAGAUAUGUUUCUGCUAGUGCGAAUGUUUGUUGCAUACACUAACAGUUAUUUCCACGCAUCCGACAAACUGACGCAUGUGAAAAAUACUGAUCCUAAUUCAAGGACUGUUGAUCACUUUUUAAUCUUAAUAAAAUGAGCAAUUUCAAACUGCCGUUUUCUUUCCAAAAGCUGAGAAUGAAAUUGAAAUUAUAGAUCAAGCAAACAGAGG